rnacentral:lncRNA from 1 species
CCCGUGUAUAUAGCAAAAUCCUAAAUACACCGUUUGGUGGUGCGCCUGUCAGAUGCGGAACGUACAGAUUAGGUAAUAGGUAACAGGUGAAUAUCCUAUUGGUAUCGGUAUCGGAUUAGACCCGGAACUUGUUAAUUAUUGGCAAUAUUAAUUAUAUGGAAAACAAAAGGGUCUGGAGUGGUGUAAUUUUUAAUCUACAUCAUUAUCCUAUAUUAGCUAUAUAUAAAGUUGAAUUCUUUGAUUUGUUGUUUUUACCCGAUGACGGCUGACAAAUUGGACCUCGUUAUUUUAGUAUUAUAGAUGAUUAUUGUUCACUUGUACACAAGGCAUGUUCGAUGGUAAUAAUAUUUAAAGUCUCAUUUUUAACUGGAAGUAAAUAAAAUAAAAUCGUCGCGUGACUAUCAUUACAUGAUGAAUAUAAUAAUCAUUAAUUUAAUACAUAAUUAUGUUAUAAUGAUAAAGUCUUUAGUUAUUACAUGUAUUCGCCGCAGGCAUGACAACUGCAACAGGUGUUUGCAAACAAUUAUAUGUAUUAUCUGUCUAUCAUCUUUUAAAGUACACACAUAAUUGGCGGAUAUUAAAAUUAAA